GACGAACGCUUGCGGCGUGCUUAACACAUGCAAGUCGAACGGAAAGGCCCUGCUUUUGUGGGGUGCUCGAGUGGCGAACGGGUGAGUAACACGUGAGUAACCUGCCCUUGACUUUGGGAUAACUUCAGGAAACUGGGGCUAAUACCGGAUAGGAGCUCCUGCUGCAUGGUGGGGGUUGGAAAGUUUCGGCGGUUGGGGAUGGACUCGCGGCUUAUCAGCUUGUUGGUGGGGUAGUGGCUUACCAAGGCUUUGACGGGUAGCCGGCCUGAGAGGGUGACCGGCCACAUUGGGACUGAGAUACGGCCCAGACUCCUACGGGAGGCAGCAGUGGGGAAUAUUGCACAAUGGGCGGAAGCCUGAUGCAGCAACGCCGCGUGCGGGAUGACGGCCUUCGGGUUGUAAACCGCUUUCGCCUGUGACGAAGCGUGAGUGACGGUAAUGGGUAAAGAAGCACCGGCUAACUACGUGCCAGCAGCCGCGGUGAUACGUAGGGUGCGAGCGUUGUCCGGAUUUAUUGGGCGUAAAGGGCUCGUAGGUGGUUGAUCGCGUCGGAAGUGUAAUCUUGGGGCUUAACCCUGAGCGUGCUUUCGAUACGGGUUGACUUGAGGAAGGUAGGGGAGAAUGGAAUUCCUGGUGGAGCGGUGGAAUGCGCAGAUAUCAGGAGGAACACCAGUGGCGAAGGCGGUUCUCUGGGCCUUUCCUGACGCUGAGGAGCGAAGGCGUGGGGAGCGAACAGGCUUAGAUGCCCUGGUAGUCCACGCUGUAAACGGUGGGUACUAGGUGUGGGGUCCAUUCCACGGGUUCCGUGCCGUAGCUAACGCUUUAAGUACCCCGCCUGGGGAGUACGGCCGCAAGGCUAAAACUCAAAGGAAUUGACGGGGCCCCGCACAAGCGGCGGAGCAUGCGGAUUAAUUCGAUGCAACGCGUAGAACCUUACCUGGGUUUGACAUGGAUCGGGAGUGCUCAGAGAUGGGUGUGCCUCUUUUGGGGUCGGUUCACAGGUGGUGCAUGGCUGUCGUCAGCUCGUGUCGUGAGAUGUUGGGUUAAGUCCCGCAACGAGCGCAACCCUUGUUCACUGUUGCCAGCACGUUAUGGUGGGGACUCAGUGGAGACCGCCGGGGUCAACUCGGAGGAAGGUGGGGAUGACGUCAAGUCAUCAUGCCCCUUAUGUCCAGGGCUUCACGCAUGCUACAAUGGCUGGUACAGAGAGUGGCGAGCCUGUGAGGGUGAGCGAAUCUCGGAAAGCCGGUCUCAGUUCGGAUUGGGGUCUGCAACUCGACCUCAUGAAGUCGGAGUCGCUAGUAAUCGCAGAUCAGCAACGCUGCGGUGAAUACGUUCCCGGG
rnacentral:rRNA from 1 species